rnacentral:rRNA from 1 species
UACAGAGGUCUCAAGCGUUGUUCGGAAUCACUGGGCGUAAAGGGUGCGUAGGUGGCGUGGUAAGUCAGAUGUGAAAGCCCGGGGCUCAACCUCGGAAUUGCAUCCGAUACUACCAUGCUAGAGUACUGAAGAGGUGACUAGAAUUCUCGGUGUAGCAGUGAAAUGCGUAGAUAUCGAGAGGAAUACCAACGGCGAAGGCAGGUCACUGGGACGGUACUGACGCUGAGACGCGAAAGCGUGGGGAGCGAACAGG